UCACUUUAAACUUGAUUUAUCUCGAAAAUUAAUUACAAAUGUCGAUGAUAUUUUUAGUGGAGGUUGUUUGGGAAAUAUGAGCGCAACUUCCUGUCCAAGUUUGACAGUUCUAUCUACAGCGGUUUCCUUGUAAAUGGAUGUCAAAGUUUUAAAAGUCUCAAGGUCAUAAGGGAGUCUUCACCUUACCAUACAAAACUUGAUUUAUCUCAAAUAUUAAUCAAAAAUGUUGAAGAUAUUUUUGGUGGAGGUUGUACAGGGAACAUGAGCGCAACUCCCUGUCCAGGUUUGACAGGUCUAUCUACAGCGGGUUCCUUGGAAAUGGAUGUCGAAGUAUUGGAAAUUUCAAGGUCACAAGGGACCUUACUAUAUAAAACUUGAUUUAUCUGGAAAAUUUAUCGAAAAUGUUGCAAAUUUUUUUAGUGGAGCUUGUACAGGGAACAUGAGCGCAACUCCUUGCCCAGGUUCGUCAGCUCUAUCCAGAGCAAUUUCCUUGUAAAUAAAUG